rnacentral:rRNA from 1 species
GACGAACGCUGGCGGCGUGCUUAACACAUGCAAGUAGAACGAAGUGGCGAACGGGUGAGUAACGCGUAAUCAACCUGCCCUUCAGAGGGGGACAACAGUUGGAAACGACUGCUAAUACCGCAUACUGAAGGAGGGGAUUGCGUUUGAUUAGCUAGUGGGCGGGGUAACGGCGCACCAAGGCGAGGAUCAGUAGCCGGCCGGGUAGGAUGACCGGCAACAUGGGAACUGAGACACGGCCCAGACCCCUACGGGAGGAGGCAGUGGGGAAUCUUCCGCAAGGGACGAAAGUCUGACGGAGCAACGCGGCUUGGUGGAGGACGGUCUUCGGGUGGUAAAGCUCUGUUAAGCGGGACGGGGUACCGGAAAAGAAGGCCAGGGCUAACUACGUGCCAGCACCCGCGGUAAUA